rnacentral:rRNA from 1 species
AUUGAACGCUGGCGGCAUGCCUUACACAUGCAAGUCGAACGGUAACAGGUCUUCGGAUGCUGACGAGUGGCGAACGGGUGAGUAAUACAUCGGAACGUGCCUAGUAGUGGGGGAUAACUACUCGAAAGAGUGGCUAAUACCGCAUGAGAUCUACGGAUGAAAGCAGGGGAUCGCAAGACCUUGUGCUACUAGAGCGGCCGAUGGCAGAUUAGGUAGUGGGUGGGAUAAAAGCUUACCAAGCCGACGAUCUGUAGCUGGUCUGAGAGGACGCUCAGCCACACUGGGACCGAGACACGGCCCAGACUCCUACGGGAGGCAGCAGUGGGGAAUUUUGGACAAUGGGCGAAAGCCUGAUCCAGCAAUGCCGCGUGCAGGAUGAAGGCCUUCGGGUUGUAAACUGCUUUUGUACGGAACGAAAAGCCCCGGGUUAAUACCCUGGGGUCAUGACGGUACCGUAAGAAUAAGCACCGGCUAACUACGUGCCAGCCGCCGCCGUAA